UACGGAGGGUGCGAGCGUUGUCCGGAAUCAUUGGGCGUAAAGGGCGCGUAGGUGGCCCGGUCAGUUCGUGGUGAAAGCGCGGGGCUCAACCCUGCGUCGGCCAUGAAUACUGCCGCGGCUGGGAGCACUGUAGAGGCAGGCGGAAUUCCUGGUGUAGCGGUGAAAUGCGCAGAUAUCAGGAGGAACACCAAUGGCGAAGGCAGCUCGCUGGGACGGUACUGACACUGAGACGCGAAAGCGUGGGGAGCGAACAGG
rnacentral:rRNA from 1 species